AUUGAACGCUGGCGGCAGGCCUAACACAUGCAAGUCGAGCGGAUGACGGGAGCUUGCUCCUUGAUUCAGCGGCGGACGGGUGAGUAAUGCCUAGGAAUCUGCCUGAUAGUGGGGGACAACGUUUCGAAAGGAACGCUAAUACCGCAUACGUCCUACGGGAGAAAGCAGGGGACCUUCGGGCCUUUCGCUAUCAGAUGAGCCUAGGUCGGAUUAGCUAGUUGGUGGGGUAAUGGCUCACCAAGGCGACGAUCCGUAACUGGUCUGAGAGGAUGAUCAGUCACACUGGAACUGAGACACGGUACAGACUCCUACGGGAGGCAGCAGUGGGGAAUAUUGGACAAUGGGCGAAAGCCUGAUCCAGACAUGCCGCGUGUGUGAAGAAGGUCUUCGGAUUGUAAAGCACUUUAAGUUGGGAGGAAGGGCAGUAAGCUAAUACCUUGCUGUUUUGACGUUACCGACAGAAUAAGCACCGGCUAACUCUGUGCCAGCCGCCGCCGUAAUAC
rnacentral:rRNA from 1 species